UGCAAGUACUGGCAUUGCAUCAGAUGGAGAUAUUGAAAAGUUCAUCAAAAGAUGGCUGCUGCUCACUUUGGACAGAGAUGGGGGAAGAAAAGAGCGGGCCCGAAUGCAAACAAAUUCUUCCAACGAGUAAAGAAAGUCACAG